UCUUUAUUCGCCGCAAACUUCUCGCGAGAAGCUUGCGGCGGAAACCCUAAUCCACUUCCUCUAUACAUCCAUAUUUUUUUAUCUAUAUAUAUCAAUCAAUCGUGGAUGUUUUAAUAUGAUUUCCCCUUCUUUCUCGUAGAUCUGUAUGCUUUCUUGUUCCUUCGUUUCUACGUUCAAUUUUUUUGUUUUUUUUCGAAGGGAUUGCCGUGACGACUCUGGAAAAUUCAAGCUCAACAGACCGGAUAGCAGGUCUCUCAUCGAGGGAUCUGUAUGUCGAUUAUCCCGCUGAACUGAGCAAUCUCCAUAUUUUCCGUCUUCUCAUAAUUCCUUUAUAUAAUUGGAGAAUGAUGGGAUGAGGAUAACUGAGCUCCCUCUUCUGAAGUGCGCAUUGUGGAUGCUUGCUGGCAGAAUCGAACCUUUAACAUACACGCCAACACUGAGCCUUGUUCUCCAAUUUAUUGUAUUUCUCAUAUUUUUUGGAGUAGCCUUUAGUUGUAAAUGUUUUGCUUUUUCUAUUUUUAUAUGUUUUACAAGUAGAGAUAAGGAUGAAGUAAAAUUUUAAAUUAUCCAACACUUGAUCUGAGGAUCUUUUGAUCCGGCUGAUGCACUGGUUUUUUACUUCUGAAUCGUAGUUCACUUGUGAUACUACAUUUUAAAAAUAUUUGCAUUGUGUCAAAUGAUGAAAUCAUGAAUAUUUUCUUAGGACACCUUCCUACACUUCCCAUUUAUGGGUUGUGGAUGAGAAUAACAUGUUCAUGCUGAUGAUAAUGGAUUUUCAGUUAUCGGCCAUUGUUUUAAUUUUUCGAUUUAUCUUUUCUUACUGGAUCUCUCUCUCUUUCUCGAUUCCCAAGUUAGCUAUUGAUGAUUGCUAAUAAAUGUUGGAAUUACCGGCUGAUGUGGUUAAUUCCACUCUGAUGUAAAUUCACCUGGCUUUCUGAAGCUUGAAUCUUAUUUCUUCCCAUGCUUGUUUUUUUUUUUCAGUUUUUAGUUUGUUUUUCUUCUUGUCGUUAACUAUUCCUUGUUAAAUUUAUGGAAAAGAUUGAAAGCGUGAUUAUGUUUUGAUGUCCCAAUGAGGAAGAACAACCUUCUUGAUAGGAAGUGCCGUAUGACUCGUUAAACAGCAACUGUGGCAUCUAGUCAUUUCCACCCAUCUUCGUUUGCUCCAUUCUUUUCAUAUUCUUUAAGAAUUGAACUGUUGUGGAUGUUAAAAUGAAUGGCUGUGUGGAAUGACUUGAACUCGUCACGGUUGUGUGUGUGAUUUUAAACUGUUCUCUGAGGGUUUUUGUUUUGCGUUUUAUUUUAGCUGUUUUGGUUAAGGCCUGAUGCCACGUCUCCAGAAGCGAAUGCAGUGACUGGUGAUGCUAUUAUCAGGCCAAUACAAAGGCCUUUUAGGCAUUUCGUUUGCUGAUAGGAAUCUGUUGAUAACUUUUAAUUUAUCUACGGAGCCGUUUACGGCGAUUACAUCUUUUUUCAUUCUCUGCCUAUUCCAAUUUGCAUAAUGUGAUUUGUAGAUAUCUUUUGCAAGUGACGAUAAACAUAGACAGGGACAUCUGUACUCUUAGAGAGGUUGAUGAUUGGUUCUAUGGGAAAUGGGAAUCUCUCCGAUGCAAUUUCUUUUCUUUUGCUGAGUUUAAGUUUUUCUCGUCACUGCUUUGCCUGUGAUGCAUAGAUAUGCACGUAUUAUCAGACUUUAAAUGAUGACGCGUACAUUGUCACUACCACUGAGGCUUUUCUUUGUUUUUUUGUACACGGAGUUUUUUGUUUUGUUUUGAUUGUUUACGAAUGAGUUUUUGACUCCGAUGAUGAUUAAACAUUAAACUUUCGUUCUUCUGAGUUUACAAGCAUUGCGGAAUAAUAAUGGAGACCUGAACUGAGGAGUUUACAUUUUUUGUGUUUUGAUGCUUCCUUUCUCGGUGUGUCGUUUUGCUUAUAUGGUUUUAUUCAGUUUUCUGUAAGGUGCCUAUGAUUCCUAUAAAUAUACUUUGAUAUAACUUCAUGAAAAGAUUUUUAUCUGAGGCACUAAUGGAAUAAUACUUAUUAAUGUGGUUUAUCGUCCUAACAAAUCUUUGCUUGUCGAUGUCAUUUUGAUGAUUUUGUUAGAUUAUUCAGGUAUCAGUUUAGGUAGUACAUCGAAUCUGUGCUACCCAAAUGAAAUCGUUUAAGAGCUUAUAAGAAGUACCCACCCACAUUUUAAACAAUCACUCCACUUUAAACGGCUGGUUUCUCGCUGCAGUGCCACGCUCCCACCAUUGUGAACACCCAGCUGUUGUACUGAGUCUGAGAGGAUCUGAUACUCUUCUUCCGCUGACCUUACUAGUCAAGAAUUGCUUCGUGUUGGAUGCUUCUGGUGCAACAUUUGAUUGUUUUUGUGUCUGGCCGUGCUCUCUGGUGCUUGUUGUUUCGCUGUUCUCCAGGCGUACAGGCGUGCUAGGUGUUAAUCUGAACUCAAUUUCUAGUGUUUUUGUAAAUCAAAGUUAAAUGGUUAGAUUUUUAAUCUUUUGAAAUCAAUCUCUCUAGCUAAUUUAUUUCAA